CCCCUAGAUGUUCUGGGCCGCACGCGCGCUACACUGAACAGUUCAACAAGUCUUAACCUUGGCCGAUAGGUCUGGGUAAUCUUUGAACGCUGUUCGUGAUUGGGAUAGACCUUUGCAAUUAUGGGUCUUCAACGAGGAAUUCCUAGUAAACGCAAGUCAUCAGCUUGCAUUGAUUACGUCCCUGCCCUUUGUACACACCGCCCGUUGCACCUACCGAUUGAAUGGUCCGGUGAAAUCUCGGGACGGCGGCUUGGUCGCUUGCGUCCGACUGCUGAAACUUGAUUAAACCAUAUCAUUUAGAGGAAGGUGAAGUCGUAACA
rnacentral:rRNA from 1 species